GGAUAGCCUCACUAUGGGUGCAAAUAGAGUGUAUGCAAAGUUUUCUUUCCUUAUAGUACACAGUUAGUUAUAUCAGCAAACAUCUUUGUUUUAUUACUUUCCUUCUUUCACAUUUGAAUUUUCAAUCAAUUGUUGCCUUACCCAAGGACUUCAAGCCAGAUUUUGAAGACUACUCACCAGGUACUUUCAGUAUCAGGCUGCAAGUGACAAAAACGGGGACUGAACGUGGUACAUUUUUCUACUGUCUCCAACUAUUUCUGACCUCCUCAGGAAUAAAAAGACUCAGAAAUGAUCACCUCUCUGCAUAAAAUCCUGAAGUCAAACAUGAAUAAAAUGGAUAAAACUCACCAUUCUGAAUACUAUACAGGACUUCUGAUAUGGGAGUUGUCUAAAUGAAAUGGAGGACUGGAGGGAAGUAUGAAGUGUACAAGGAACCUUCCUACAUUGGCACAGCCCCUUCUUGACCUGGUUGUCUGGUAUUUGUAAAUGUUUUCAAUCAACUCUCUAUGCCCGUAUUACCUCGCUUCAAUUUUGUUCUGAGCAGCCAUACAUCUGUGCACCACAGCAUGCUGAAGACCAAAUAUCUCUAAUUAGGAACAUAACACUUUUAAUAUGUUCCACAUGGGAUCAUCACAAAUAGAGUUUACUGCCACCACAGCUCCUUGAGGGUGAGAUGGCUUCACUGCCUGACCUGUGCUUUCACAAUGUCUAUCAUGAUUUUCACCUUCCUCUUUCUCAUCUGUGCUUCCUAUAAUAUGAUGGAUAUUUCUGUUCAUAAAUGUUCCAGAAUGGUGUCGUAUAUCCUCAAUUGCUUGGCCAGAAUAAAUAAACAAAUAAAUAAAUGCCUUGAAUUAAAACUAGAAACUGGAUUCACGAUGCAUCGGCUGCUUAUUGCUGGCCAUCCCAUGUCCUCCAGAAGGUCUGCAGAGGGGUCCUCGUGGCCUCUUCCCCGCAGAGGGUGUCAGAAGGCAAGAAAUCAAGAGAGCAAGACGAGCUGCAUGCCGGCGUGUAGGGUUGACUGCAUGUCAUACUGAAACCGAGUGUGACCCUCGCUCGUCCUUCUGGGCGACGGUAAAAAUGCCACGGGUCAACACUGAGCAAGACGCAGGACUUUCAUUAAUUAAAUUACAGGUUUUUUUAUUAAGUAAGUGCUGCAUUCUCUGUCUCUAAGUCAUUAAGUAACUCAUUGAAUCAUACCACAACAAUAAAUCAUAUCAUGAUGUUCCUGUGUAUACAGUCAUUAAGCACUUUGGAGUGCAUGACUUCCUGAUAUGAUGUGUCUACAUUUUAAAAUAAACACAUGCCUAUAUUCUUCUUUUGCUUGUGUACUGCAAGCACCUUCUGCUUGAGUGCCCAAAGUAGUGAGAUGGAUUGGCUAAGCUCUAACAAAAAGUACGGUCAGCAUUAACGCGUCCAGAGAACAGCAGUAACAUCAGGCAACCCAGAAACAAGAUGAAGACAUUAACAAAAGAGCACCUUUGCAUGAAGCAUGAAAUGCAAUAAGGGUCCCAGAAACAAGAUGAAGACAUUAACAAAAGAGUGCCUUCGCACAAAACAUGAAAUGCAAUAAGGAUAUUGUAUUGCAGUGUCUGUAUAAAUAUUUUUCAUACUUAAGGCUAAGAUUAAAGAAAAUUAAAUACUAGCAUUUAGG
rnacentral:lncRNA from 7 species